rnacentral:rRNA from 1 species
GACGAACGCUGGCGGCGUGCUUAACACAUGCAAGUCGAACGGAAAGGCCCUGCUUUUGUGGCGUGCUCGAGAGGCGAACGGGGGAGUAACACGUGAGUAAACCGCACUUAACUUUGGGAUAUCUCUAGGAAACUGGGUAUAAUACCGGAUAGGAGCUCCUGCUGCAUGGUGUGGGUUGGAAAGUUUCGGCGGUUGGGGAUGGACUGGAGGCUUAUCAGCUUGUUGGUGGGGUAGUGGUUUACCAAGGCUUCGACGGGUAGCCGGCCUGAGCGGGUGACCGGCCACAUUGGGACUGCGAGACGGCCCAGACUCCUACGUGAGGCAGCAGUGGGGAAUAUUGCACAGUGGGCGGGAGCCUGAUGCAGCAGCGCCGCGUGCGGGAUGACGGCUUUUGGGUGGUGAACCGCUUUCGCCUGUGACGAAGCGUGAGUGACGGUAAUGGGUAAAGAAGCACCGGCUAACUACGUG